ACCCCAUCUUAAAACCUUACUUCUGGCUUCACUGUAAUAUAGUGAUGAGUAUGAAAAAUCUUUGGUGGAUCACUGCAUGAAAGACUUAUGAUGUUGCCCUGUCGGACCUCCUUUUUGAUAGGUCUACUACUUAGAAUUGGCAAAGCACCAUAAUGGACAAAUAACUUUGCAUGUAGGUUUGGAUCAAGGGACUAUGUUGGUAGUGGUGGAAUUAGAUAUAGGAUAGUAAAACGAACCUAGUGGUUAACAUAAGUAUACAUGUAGCCA
rnacentral:lncRNA from 1 species